rnacentral:lncRNA from 1 species
UCCAUAAGACUUUUAGAGAGAGAAAUUUCAUGAAGAGAGAGAAAAUUCUAGAGAGAGAAAGUAGAGAGAGAAAGUGGAGAGAGAAAUUUUCGUAUCCUUCAGAUGAGGCAAUCAUGGUCGAGACCAUCCGAAGUCCUAUCAGGGUGACUCAAUAUGAAUCAAAUGUUACAAAUUUCGAAUAGGAUCGAACUGGGAUCAGAUCUACUGUACGAAUUUCGGAGCAAUCUCAAUUCAUCAUAUUUUUAAUUCAAAUAUAUCCUAAGGUCUGUGAUGCAAUCAGAGAGAGAGUAGAAAGAUUUUAAAGAGAUAAAAUCCACAAAAAGAGAGAAAAAUCUAGAGAGAGAAAAUAGAGAG